AGCCACAUCACAUUGAAACAAUAGAUCCCAUACAAUCACUGAAGUUAAGCAACAUCGAGCCUGGUCAGUACCAAGAUGAGCAACUGCUUGGGAAUACCAAGUGCU